UCCUUUUGCACCAUCCUAUUCAUUUUGGUAAAUUUCUCUAGGGUUUUUCUUUAUAGUUUAAUGUGUGCAUACAUACUGUUUGGCAUCUUGCUCUCCCUCUCCCACUUAAAGCACACUGUCUCUACAACUGUCUUUAGAGGCCCUCAUGUCUCUUAUUAGAGUUGAGAAUUCCCCUGCUGUUGGCCACCUCGAGCAUCCUGUUCCAUCUUGGAUAACACUAUAGUUGAAGCCUUUUGCACAAAGCCCUUUUCAUACUUUAGAUCAUCAGAUUGGUUUCCAGUAGUAGGUCAUCCACUUCUAGGGACCUUAGUAUUUGGCCACUUCUGACAUUUAAGUCAUUUGGUAUUUCACUUGGUCAACACUGACAUUUAGUGCCUACUAGUCAUUUAAUAAAACCUUUUAAAAAUAAACCUGAACAACUAAAUGGCCUUCAAGAAAUACUGUGGGAAUAUUGCACCCUGUGUCUUGGUUACAUCAUCCCGUGAAAACAGAAAUUCAACAAACCUAAUUUUGUUGCUGCAAAACUUGAGUCAUUGCAAAGUGAGAAAAAAGGCAGAAAGAUUUACUGAUGACUCAGGGAUGAGGGGAAGCAAGGUGUAGGUAGAUGGGCUGUUUGGGAAUGAGGUACAUAUCUCCACUCCCGGGUCACAGAUACUUGUCCCAUGAGAUCAAAGCAAGAUACAGAAGUGGCAGCUCAAGAAUAAGCUCUGGUUUGCACUGGUUCGGAUCAACUCCAGAGACAAUGGACCAGGCCCUGCGCCAGGCCACCCACUGCUUUGUGAUCUCAGAAGCUGAGAGGAAGAACAAAGAUUUGGAUUCAACAAGGAAAGCUGGGAGGGCACGGCCUCCUCUCUCCUGAAGGCUCUUGCCCCUAUGUCUUGAAGAGUAAACCCCAUGACCUCAGUUAAAGGAAGGAAGAGAGGGUGAAAGAAAAGAAGACAGGAAGGAAAAGGAAAGGAGGUCCCCCGCAUGUGCAUCCCCACAUGCACCUCCUUCUGGGUCACUUGCAGGCCCGUGUCGGUUGGUGCACUUACUAUUUCGUGUUCCUUUGUCACUUCCAUGUUUGUCCUUGUGAAACAUACUUAAUUUUUAACAGCCAUCCUAGGCACCAUUGAUUGAAUAGACGUGCCCAAACACGGCCAUCCUUCUGGUAUUGGGCAGACACAAGGCUAUUUUCAGAGUCAGCAUAGAUGAUUUAGUCAAACCAGUAGUGGUUAGUUUUAAUCAUUAUUUCUUUUUUCUACCUUUUAACUAUUUCCUUAAGCUACAUUCUCAGAAAUGGGAUUUCUGGGUAAAAAGGGAUGGAUAUUUUUAUUGCUUUUAAAAGAUAGUGGUAGAUCUCUUUUCAAAGAUGCUAUGCUAAUUUGUAAAACCCAAAAUAAGUUUUUUGCAAUUUUUCAAAGGUGAUAGUGCAGCAAGAAAAGUUUCCCAGAAUAUCCCUCCAAUGCCUUGGAGGGCUCUUUCCUUACAGAGUUUCAGGAAGGUUCUAAUCAGCAGCUCUAUUUUUGUGAGAUCAGGUUGUGGUAGACAGGAGGCUGUGUGGCUAUCAGGACUGAUAAGGGUAUUUGGGGACUGUUUGUGGCCAGUUUAAAUGCCUGCUGUAUAGGGCUGUAGUCUGGGGACCCGGUGAGGGUGACAGGCUCUCUUUGUAGAGACUCCUCUUCCACCCUCGCAAAGUUUGUGCUUCGGGUGCGGAGUGACGCAUCUGAGGGCACUACCAACUGGAUCAGGCAGCCUUGCUCACACGGUGGUCUUGCGUUGUUCUCUCAAGAAAGUAAAGGCCUGGGUGAUUGUGGCCAGGCCCAACUGAACCCCAAGAGGGUGUGAGUGCUCAGGCCAAUAGCCCAGGUAGGGAGGCUGAGCCCUGAGGGUCAGAGCUGUCCUGGGCCCAGCUCAGGUUCCCUCCCUGGGAACCAGUUGGAGGAUCCAGGCAGCAUCAAAGCCCAGGGAGCAGUGAGUGGGUGCAGGGAUGUCCCUGCCCUCCUGCUAAAGCCUUUCCCUCUGGCUGCUGGGCCUUCCCAGGGACAGAGGGACCUGUGGCUCAAGGGCGAGGGGCAAGUGUCCCCAGACUGGCUGGGCUGCAAACCCACACGCAUGCUCCAGCAGAGGCAUUUUGCACAGGACCUGGGAACCUGGGCCCACUCUGCAGGCUACCCUUGAGAGAGGCCAGGGCCUUGGAAGAGAUCUGCCCAGGACAUGAGCGUGGGCAUGUUUGCUUGGAGAGCAGAGUCAGAGGCUCUGUGGGGUCAGAAACCCAAGGAGGCCUGAGUCUGAACACUCAGCACAAACAGACAAGCAAACCCCUUCCUGUGUGCGGGUAGAGCCCAGCUCAGCAUGCCCCACCCCUGCUGCUGCUGAGGUGGACUUUUGGGGCUUCCGGAGCUGGGGGAGUCUGGGACUCUUUCCCCGAUGACAGCCUCGGCCAUGCAGUUUCACAAGCUCCUUCGAUAUGCCAGUGUCAACAUCAACCACAACAGUAGAAGUAAUAAAAAUAGUGCUGUUACUUACUCA
rnacentral:lncRNA from 1 species